UACGUAGGGUGCAAGCGUUGUCCGGAAUUAUUGGGCGUAAAGAGCUCGUAGGCGGUCUGUCGCGUCUGCUGUGAAAACUCAGGGCUUAACCCUGAGCUUGCAGUGGGUACGGGCAGACUAGAGUGCGGUAGGGGGAGACUGGAAUUCCUGGUGUAGCGGUGAAAUGCGCCAGAUAUCAGGAGGAACACCCGGUGGCGAAGGCGGGGUCUC
rnacentral:rRNA from 1 species